AAAAUUAAAUUACUGCAUCACUAUGCCAUAUAUUAACAAAAUCAGCUAACAGAUUCAAGGAAUGCAUGCAUCGUAGGAGGAUUGUAAGCAAAACUCCAGUAAAUGUGAACAUAUUACGUUGCCUUUAUAGAACAACACCCAGUUGAUUAACUCCUUUGUAACCUCUUCCCAGGCUAUAUCCAUCCAUUCUAGUAUUUUAGAGAUACAACACAGGUACACGUACACAACAGAGUUAGAACGGCAAUAACCUAGAUGGCUAAGCAGCCGUACAAUUGAAAGGCAUAGUAUUUUAGUUUUAGACAGACAUAUAGCAUUCUUGUUUGAAGGAAAAUUCAGGGACAUGAAGAACAGAGAUCUUCUAUUGGCAGCUAAAAAGGAAAGGAAGAAAUAAUCAGGCGAUAAAUUGAAUGCACUUCGUCAGGCAGUUAGGAAACUGAGGUAUUAUUUCAGUCUCAGUGACAGAUUCAUAUAUGGAAAGUCAUAUGAAACUUGCACAAAACUUAUUGCCAGGCAACCAAGAAACUUGCUGCAUUGCUUCGUUGACCAUAUAGCUUCAGAAUGGCAGGGCCUAUGAUAAAGGAAGAAGGAGUCAGUGGCGGGCUAGAGGUGAAUGUAUCAGCCAAGAGCGUGUUGCGGCCGCCGGGCCUUUGCCUCACCAUUACCGUGGCCGUGAUCGCGGCCGACGCUCGACCACCACCACGUUCACUGCUCAUGGCAGGACGCUCCCAUCACCGCGUGCUCACUGGUCACAAACAAGAUGCCGGAGCCAGCCGGUGAGAUAAUGGAUCCGACGACGCCCACGCAGGGAACUCGUCAUCCCUCUCGUCGCGGAGCCCAUUGAGGAGCCCGUUUAGGGGAGGGGAGGGAGAAGGAUCCCUACGCGGCUGUUG
rnacentral:lncRNA from 1 species